AUCAACGCUGGCGGCGCUGCCUAAUACAUGCAAGUCGAACGAGAAAUGUGGAGCAAUACACAUGAGUACAGUGGCGACGGGUGAGGAUUAACAUGGACUAACCUACCCUCUGAGUGGGGAAUAACCAUCCGGAAACCGGUGGCUAAUACCGCAUAACACCUUCCGGGACAAGGAGCAGUUUCGCUAAGGAAGCGAUACCGGGGUAUCGCGGCUCUUGAUGCUCAUGCCUAGCUUUGGUGAGGUAACUGGCCUACCAAGGCAUUCGACAGGUAUCCGGAUCUGAGAGGGAGCAGGCCACACUGGCACUGCAACACGGUCCAGACUCCUACGGGAGGCAGCAGUAGGGGAAUAUUGCACAAUGGGGGAAACCCUGACUGCAGCAACGCCGCGUGGAGGAUGAAGUCCUUCGGAUUGUAAACUCCUUUCGGGACGAUGGGAUGGAUAACCUCGACGGUACCGGUCGAAGAAGCCACGGCUAACUUCUGUGCCAGCAGCCGCGGUAAUACAGAGGUGGCAAGCGUUGUUCGGAUUUACUAGGGCGUAAAGGGAGCGUAGGCGGUUGGGUAAGUCCUUCUGUGAAAUCCCCGGGCUCAACUCGGAGCUGCAGGCCGAAUACUGAAGGCUUGAGUAUCGGGAGAGGGAGUGCGAAUUCCAUGGUGUAGCGGUGAAAUGCGUAGAUAUCAUGGAGGAACACCGGUGGCGAAGGCGGCAUCCUGGACCGGUAUUGACGCUGAGGCGCGAAAGCCAGGGGAGCAAACGGGAUUAGAUACCCCGGUAGUCCUGGCCCUAAACGAUGAAUGCUUGGUGUGGCGGGUAUCGAUCCCUGCCGUGCCGAAGCUAACGCAUUAAGCAUUCCGCCUGGGGAGUACGGUCGCAAGGCUGAAACUCAAAGGAAUUGACGGGGGCCCGCACAAGCGGUGGAGCAUGUGGUUCUAAUUCGACGCAACGCGAAGAACCUUACCCAGGCCUGAACUGCAGGUGACACUCCUACGAAAGUAGACUUCCGCAAGGACGCCUGUAGAGGUGCUGCAUGGCUGUCGUCAGCUCGUGUCGUGAGAUGUUGGGUUAAGUCCCGCAACGAGCAGCAACCCCUGUCUUCUGUUGCCAUCGGGUUAUGCCGGGCACUCUGAAGAGACUGCCGGUGACAAACCGGAGGAAGGUUGGGGAUGACGUCAAGUCAGCAUGGCCUUUAUGUCUGGGGCCACACACGUGCUACAAUGGCCGGCACAAACCGUCGCGAGCUCGCGAGAGGGGAGCUAAUCGGAGAAAGCCGGUCUCAGUUCGGAUUGUAGGCUGCAACUCGCCUGCAUGAAGUUGGAAUCGCUAGUAAUCGCGGAUCAGCACGCCGCGGUGAAUACGUUCCCGGGCCUUGUACACACCGCCCGUCACAUCACGAAGCCUGGCUGUACUAGAAGUCGCUGCGCUAACCCGCAAGGGAGGCAAGCUCCUAAGGUAUGGUUCAGUGAUUGGGGUG
rnacentral:rRNA from 1 species